UGCUCGAGUGGCGAACGGGUGAGUAACACGUGAGUAACCUGCCCUUGACUUUGGGAUAACUUCAGGAAACUGGGGCUAAUACAGGAUAGGAGCUCCUGCUGCAUGGUGGGGGUUGGAAAGUUUCGGCGGUUGGGGAUGGACUCGCGGCUUAUCAGCUUGUUGGUGGGGUAGUGGCUUACCAAGGCUUUGACGGGUAGCCGGCCUGAGAAGGUGACCGGCCACAUUGGGACUGAGAUACGGCCCAG
rnacentral:rRNA from 1 species